rnacentral:lncRNA from 1 species
CCUAACGUGUCCCAGGCAGUUCAUACUUCUCGGAUUGGGUUUGCAGAAGAGGAGCACGUUAAUAAUUUAUUCCCAGUAGAGCCACCGUAGCUCGCUCCCAGGACGAGGCGCAGACUUGCGCGGCGCGUGCGCGGAAGUAGGAGCGCCGACACCUAGUUUCGCGAGAGAGUUCGUGGUAGGUUUUGGUUGCUUCUGUCGGGCCUGCGAGGCGCUCGGUGUCUCAGAUUCGCUCACCAAGUGACAGGUUUUAGGGAUGUUAGGGUCUGUACGUUUCUCUAUCUAAUAAACAUUACUGUUAGUUUUGCUGAGAAGCGGAACCGAGCCCUGCCCGCGUGGUGGCCGCACCCAUCCUCGCCGAUGCUCCCCGCUGGCCGGCUCUCCUGGCCCCACCCCCGCAGUUAUUUCUCCGGAAACAGGCGGCCCUCUGACCUUUGCUGGUGGCUAGGGGAUAGCGAACACCACCACCCCAGUUACGCUCUCGUGCCCAGCCCCGGGUCGGGCUCGAGGGUGAGGUCUUGAGUGAGGCCUGCAGGCAGAGUCGGGCCCGAAGGAGAGCUUGCUUCUAAGUGCUAUAAAUGCAGCUAAAGAGCCCCUUUCCUCCGGACACCGCAUCCUCCCGAGGGUCGCCACAUCUGGGCCUCCCCUCGGGUCUCUUCUGUGGAGUAUUUCCUUUAUGAGAGAGUGUGCUUGGGAGCCGAAUGAUUCCAAGUCGAGGUGUGGAAAGGCUGGAGUCUAGAUCUUAGAAGGCUGUAGGCUGGGUGGUGGUCCUUUUUACUGGGUUGUUGUAUCCACACAACUAGAUGUCCUUUGAAGGCUCAUAAAAAUCUUUACUGUUGCUGUUUCAGCAACUUCCAACCAUUCUCACGCUUUCUAAUUCUUCUUAAGUAUAAGAAGGCAUUAUAUUUAGGGUUUCUGGCAUGGUCGUAAAGGGCUUGUUUGGAUUGACACUGAAAAGAAGAAAGUAGGAAAGCAUUUCCACAUUAUUGAGCGAGAUUUUUUUUUUCCUUUGCAGCUAUAGGCUGAAUGUUUGUGUCCCUCCUCAAUUUUGGGAGGACAUAGAAGACUGCUGAGACUGCUGUCUGUGAACCAGGAAGCAGUCUCAUAUCACACACUGAGCCUGCUAACACCUUGAACUUGACCUUUCCAGUCUCCAGAACUUGGAGAAAUAAAUGUUUGCUGUUUAAGC